rnacentral:rRNA from 1 species
UACGUAGGGGGCAAGCGUUGUCCGGAUUUACUGGGCGUAAAGAGCGUGUAGGCGGCCAAGCAGGUCCGUUGUGAAAACUGGAGGCUUAACCUCCAGACGUCGACGGAACCGCGUGGCUAGAGUCCGGAAGAGGAGAGUGGAAUUCCUGGUGUAGCGGUGAAAUGCGCAGAUAUCAGGAAGAACACCAAUGGCGAAGGCAGCUCUCUGGGACGGUACUGACGCUGAGACGCGAAAGCGUGGGGAGCGAACAGG